rnacentral:lncRNA from 1 species
CAGUAAACAGACAGACUGAAGAUAGAACAGAAAAAAGCAUAGAGUUUUUACAAAAGUUAUCAAAGUUUAACAAAACAGAUAGCCAAACAACUAAAACAGUAAGUUUAGACAUCAUUCAUUUAACCAAAGAUGCAUGUUCAUCCUUGAUUGGUUUCUACUAUUUAUACAACUUUGUACUGAAAAUCAGCUCUAUACCUCAAUAUCAGUAGUCCAUUUUCAUAUUGCUGAAUUGAUCAUUUUUCAACAGGUAAUAUCUGCUCUGUGGUAAGACAUCCUGGUAUUCAGUCAAGCAGGAGCAAUGCAAAUAAGUAAAUUCAAGAUUUUAAUAUGUACAAUUUUGAGGAAAAGAUAAGUGUUGAUGCUUUCUAUACAUUACUAAAUCAUCAGAAAAUUGUUAAUUUCCCCCAAAUUGCACCGAUCAUAUAUUUGAUUUUACAUUUUUGGUUGCUCAUAAUUGACUGAGUACCAGGAUGUCCUACCACAGAGUAGGUAACCUGUGGAAUAAUUGUAGAACCUGGAGUCAAAUGUCAGUAAUAUAAAAAUGGUCUAUUAAAUAGGAAAAGCAUAGCAAUAAGUCCAGGGACUGUUCUUUAGCCAGCCAGAAUUACAAAUAAACCAUAUCUGACAACACAGAAAGUAAAAUGAACUUGCAUGGUGUUUUAAAGCAAGGUCAUCUGUCAAGAUACUCUGAUCAUAAGUAUUCAUUUGUUUAUAUGGUACUGUAAUCAUUACAUGCUUCUUUGUGCAGUAAUUAUCCCUCAUCACAAUAGUAAUUGUCUUUUUAUGUUUUUAAUAUCUGUAAGCUUUGUAACCAUCAAUCCUAUAGGACCUUUAUCCUAAACAAUUUCUUACUUAGUAGAAUUGCUUGUCAUCAUGUUUAGUUGAUUCAUUCCCACUGCCAUAAUUUUUAUGGAAGUUAUUAGAGGUUGACCAUUUUUGGCUAGGUAUGAUAAACUGUGAUUUAAAUUAACUGUUAGAGUUGCUCUCCACCUAUUGCAACUUAUUCAAAAUUCUGACCAAAUUGCAAUUUAUCAUUGAGCUUUCAUACUCAAUAAAAUAGCUUCUCAUUUUUUGUAUUUGAUCAUACUUUUAAUCUAUUUUGUGAAAGUUAUUGUAUUUCAAUUAUUUCUAUAUGCCUGUCAAAAUACCAGAAAUCUGUUUGUCCUCUAUCUUUCUGUCUGUCUGACUCGCAGAAUAUCCAUCAACACUUUGUAAAAUUAUUUUUGCUCUAAGGAUAGAGGCUCUUAUCCUAUCUUUUCCUAUCUUAUUAUUUUUUUAGUUUUGUUGUUUCAGAGUCACAUGUACAGAGUAAAUUGUGAUAUUCAAGAAAAUUUGAGAUAAUUUGAGUUUGCUUUGAUUGAUUUACAUAACUGCUUGAGUUGGAUUGACGGUCAGAUAAAGAAAAGAGAUUUUUUAAUUGUAAUUUACUACCUCUAGUUUACCAAAAUGGAUCAAAUAACUUCAAACUUAACUCUGGUUUUGGGAUUGAAGACAAGCUUUAGAAUUUGAAUUUGGUACUUCAUUGCAUUGUCAUUGGAACAUUGAACAAUAAUUUUUGACUUAAUAUCUAUAUGCCUUAAAGUAAUCUCAUGUUUUCUUCAAGGCCAUUUAUUGGCUUUUGAUUACAGUAAACGCCUUCUAAAGUUUCAUUUUAUUCUUGCAAAAAUUUCAAUUUGUAUGUGUAGAAGCUUUCAUACUUGGUGAAAUUGUCGUCAUAUGAAGUUAUCAAUGACCAUAAAUGUACCUUAAUUUAGAUUUGAUGACUUUUGCAGGAGUUCCUGCAUUUUUUUUGUUUAAUUAUUGCAUGCAAGCACUUAAUUAUGAAUAAUUUAGAUGUGAUGUUUUAUGAGUAUGAUGAUUGAUAUUCUGUUAAUAAAUUCAUCAUACAUUCAAUAAUCAGUGUUUAGGGAAUAUAUUUAAAUGUUGCAUCAUGCUCUUUGUGUCUGGCAUUGUUCUACAGUCUACUCUUGAGAGAUUAAUAUUGCACAGUUAUAUAGUGGCAAGGUCAAUUCUCUUAGAUCGCAUAAUCUUGUAUUAGUUACUAGGAAUUUUACUUAUAUAGUACUACAAAAGUUCAAUGCUUUGACAAACAAACGUCAUAAUAAAUAAAAAUAAAUAUGACCGACAUGAACCAACAAGAACCAACAACAACUAAUUACUGGCUACUACCUUGGGACAGGCACAUUAAGGUUGUGGUGUGGUAAAAAUUGUUUUAUAGCUUCAAUCCUGCUCCUAACCUUGGUUAACACAACAAAAGAAGCAGAGGUGGAUUGAGGGGGGGGGGGGAAUUUUGGUUGGUUAUAUAGGUAAUCACUAGCAUGACAGGAGCGGGCCCCUCUUAGGCAGUCAGUGGGCCCCACUUAUGAAAAUUUCUGGAUCCGCCACUGAGAAGAAAUUGUAAAAAUCACUUACAAAUGGCUGAGCUCAAAAGAUUGGUGAGACAAUAUUUCUACACUGGGAAAAGAAGGUUGAUUAGCUUUUCAAUCCAGAUAAUUAAUUAAGUCACUAUAUGUAAUGUCAUACUGUAUUGCUUUUUUAGAUUUUGAAGUAUAACAAAGGAAGAUUAUCCAAAAAUGAUGAAAAGAUGGAACCUGUAGAUAACUCCACUGUAUUUUCUAACACAGACUUUGACAAAUUUGAAGAUGAAUAUGAUUUUUUCUCAUGAUGCUAAUAAAAUAAUUUAAAAA